GUCGCAAGGCUAAAACUCAAAGGAAUUGACGGGGGCCGCACAAGCGGUGGAGCAUGUGGUUCAAUUCGAUGCAACGCGAAAAACCUUACCUNGGUUUGACAUCCUUUGACAGUCCCUGAAAGGGGAUCUUCCCGAUUUAUCGGGACAAAGUGACAGGUGCUGCAUGGCUGUCGUCAGCUCGUGUCGUGAGAUGUUGGGUUAAGUCCCGCAACGAGCGCAACCCUUGUCUUUAGUUGCCAAUAUUAAGUUAGGCACUCUAAUGAUACUGCCCCGGUUAACGGGGAGGAAGGUGGGGAUGACGUCAAGUCCUCAUGGCCUUUAUACCCAGGGCUACACACGUGCUACAAUGGGCUAUACAAAGGGCUGCCACUCUGCAAAGAGGAGCUAAUCCCAAAAAGUAGUCCUAAGUUCGGAUUGGAGUCUGCAACUCGACUCCAUGAAGCUGGGAUCGCUAGUAACCGUGGAUCAGCAUGCCACGGUGAAUACGUUCCCGGGCCUUGUACACACCGCCCGUCACACCACGAAAGUUGG
rnacentral:rRNA from 1 species